UUUAUAUAAUUAUACCUACACUGCAUCUAGUGCUCCAAAUGAAUGCUGACUAAAUUAUUUUCUUUUAUUAAACAAACAGGUAUGUAAAGAGACUUAAAACUUCUUUUAAAAAGAUACAUACAGACAGCAUCAAAAUAUAAACUAGGAUUUCCCAUAGGUAUAUAUGUGCAGUAGCUGAGUGCAUGAAACAAAUUAGCCUAAAUAAUAUAAUAUUUUCUUGAUGACUAACAUAAGCACAACUUAUACAAGAAUAAUCUAUUCCAUUGCUCUCAAUAUUUUUGUUACAUUU